AGGAGCAACAGCCCUAGUGGCGGGGCCAGCUCUUGAAACCUGGAUUCAGCCCCCACAGGAACUCUGGAGCUCUCCAUCUGCAGGGCCUGGAGGCUCCGGGCGGGG
rnacentral:pre_miRNA from 1 species